GGGGUUGUGGCGCAAAGGCAGCGCACCCGGCUUUUACCCGGAGAGAUGAGGGUUCGAGUCCCUCUGACCCCA
rnacentral:tRNA from 1 species